CAUCUAAGGGUUAGAUAUAAUAAAGACCAAUUUAUUUUAAUGUCUAAAGUAAAACAAUUAUUAACUUAAAUUAGCUUGGUAAAAGCUAAUUCAUUACCAACAACGGUUUUUAAAGACUUAUUUUGUAUUAAGUAUUCUUCUGGCUGCUGAAAAUAUAGCAUUCCACAAAACAAAUAAAAUAUUUACCUUCAUGCAGAUUACAUUCUGGUAGAGAGAUGCAGAUAACUAAAUGUAUGAUAUUUUAGUUUUUCUGAAUAUUAUUUUUUCUCAGGCAAGGGAAACAAAAAAUAAAUAAAUGGGAUUACAUCAAAUUAUAAGUUUUUUGCUGGGCAAAGGAACCCAUCAACAAAAUGAAAAGAAAAACUGCUGAACAGGAAAAGCUACUCACCACUGAUACAUCCAAUAAGAGGUCCAAGAUCAAGAUGUUAGCAGGUUUUGUUCCUUCCGAGGCCUUUCUUCUUGGCAUUCAGAUGAUGGAGCACAUGAUUG